rnacentral:misc_RNA from 1 species
UAGUAGUUGUUGUCUAGUAUCAUGGGUGUGCCACGGUCAUUUCUCACGUAUUGCACGGCCUUAGGGUCUGGGAUGGAGUCUGGGCACUUGUGGAGCAUGUGCUCAACAUGGUCAGGGUUUAGCACUGGAUCAACCUCUGGGUAGAGACGAUGCACCAGCUUCACACAGUGUGUUCUACCCACACUGUGAGCUCCUAGCAAGGCAACCACUCCAGGUGUGUCAAUUCCCAUGGCAGCAAAUCUCUCAAGAACAACAGAGAUGCUCUCAUUAUGGUCUGGGAGGUACU